GGCGCCGUAGCCAAGUGGUAAGGCAGAGGUCUGCAAAACCUCCAUUCACCGGUUCGAAUCCGGUCGGCGCCUCCA
rnacentral:tRNA from 1 species